rnacentral:rRNA from 1 species
AACGAACGCUGGCGGCAGGCCUAACACAUGCAAGUCGAGCGAGGACUUCGGUUCUAGCGGCGGACGGGUGAGUAACGCGUGGGAAUGUGCCCUUAUCUACGGAAUAGCCCUGGGAAAGUGGGAGUAAUACCGGAUAAGGCCUUUUGGGGAAAGAUUUAUCGGAGAUGGAUCAGCCCGCGUUGGAUUAGGUAGUUGGUGGGGUAAUGGCCUACCAAGCCGACGAUCCAUAGCUGGUUUGAGAGGAUGAUCAGCCACACUGGGACUGAGACACGGCCCAGACUCCUACGGGAGGCAGCAGUGGGGAAUAUUAGACAAUGGGGGCAACCCUGAUCCAGCCAUGCCGCGUGAGUGAUGAAGGCCUUAGGGUUGUAAAGCUCUUUUACCCGGGAUGAUAAUGACAGUACCGGGAGAAUAAGCUCCGGCUAACUCCGUG